AACGAACGCUGGCGGCAUGCCUAACACAUGCAAGUCGAACGAUCCCUUCGGGGAUAGUGGCGCACGGGUGCGUAACGCGUGGGAACCUGCCCUUAGGUUCGGAAUAACUCAGAGAAAUUUGAGCUAAUACCGGAUAAUGUCUUCGGACCAAAGAUUUAUCGCCUUUGGAUGGGCCCGCGUUGGAUUAGCUAGUUGGUGGGGUAAAGGCCUACCAAGGCGACGAUCCAUAGCUGGUCUGAGAGGAUGAUCAGCCACACUGGGACUGAGACACGGCCCAGACUCCUACGGGAGGCAGCAGUGGGGAAUAUUGGACAAUGGGCGAAAGCCUGAUCCAGCAAUGCCGCGUGAGUGAUGAAGGCCUUAGGGUUGUAAAGCUCUUUUACCCGGGAUGAUAAUGACAGUACCGGGAGAAUAAGCCCCGGCUAGCUCCGUG
rnacentral:rRNA from 1 species